AGGCGCUGGCGGCGUGCCUAAUACAUGCAAGUAGAACGCUUAAGCUUGGUGCUUGCACCGAGCGGAUGAGUUGCGAACGGGUGAGUAACGCGUAGGUAACCUGCCUUUUAGCGGGGGAUAACUAUUGGAAACGAUAGCUAAUACCGCAUAAAAGUCGACAUCGCAUGAUGUUGACUUGAAAGGUGCAAUUGCAUCACUAAGAGAUGGACCUGCGUUGUAUUAGCUAGUUGGUGAGGUAACGGCUCACCAAGGCGACGAUACAUAGCCGACCUGAGAGGGUGAUCGGCCACACUGGGACUGAGACACGGCCCAGACUCCUACGGGAGGCAGCAGUAGGGAAUCUUCGGCAAUGGGGGCAACCCUGACCGAGCAACGCCGCGUGAGUGAAGAAGGUUUUCGGAUCGUAAAGCUCUGUUGUAAGAGAAGAACGAGUGUGAGAGUGGAAAGUUCACACUGUGACGGUAACUUACCAGAAAGGGACGGCUAACUACGUGCCAGCAGCCGCGGUAAUACGUAGGUCCCGAGCGUUAUCCGGAUUUAUUGGGCGUAAAGCGAGCGCAGGCGGUUAGAUAAGUCUGAAGUUAAAGGCUGUGGCUUAACCAUAGUACGCUUUGGAAACUGUUUAACUUGAGUGCAGAAGGGGAGAGUGGAAUUCCAUGUGUAGCGGUGAAAUGCGUAGAUAUAUGGAGGAACACCGGUGGCGAAAGCGGCUCUCUGGUCUGUAACUGACGCUGAGGCUCGAAAGCGUGGGGAGCGAACAGGAUUAGAUACCCUGGUAGUCCACGCCGUAAACGAUGAGUGCUAGGUGUUG
rnacentral:rRNA from 1 species